UGGGGAAUAUUGCACAAUGGGCGCAAGCCUGAUGCAGCGACGCCGCGUGGGGGAUGACGGCCUUCGGGUUGUAAACUCCUUUCGCUAGGGACGAAGCUUUUUGUGACGGUACCUAGAUAAGAAGCACCGGCUAACUACGUGCCAGCAGCCGCGGUAAUACGCAGGGUGCGAGCGUUGUCCGGAAUUACUGGGCGUAAAGGGCUCGUAGGUGGUUUGUCGCGUCGUCUGUGAAAUUCCGGGGCUUAACUCCGGGCGUGCAGGCGAUACGGGCAUAACUUGAGUACUGUAGGGGUAACUGGAAUUCCUGGUGUAGCGGUGAAAUGCGCAGAUAUCAGGAGGAACACCGAUGGCGAAGGCAGGUUACUGGGCAGUUACUGACGCUGAGGAGCGAAAGCAUGGGUAGCGAACAGG
rnacentral:rRNA from 1 species